AAAUUCCUUCAGAACUGAGUGGGCUUGAAAAUUUGAUUCAAUCAAGUCCUCUAGGUGGCCCGAUAUCGGCCCAUUCCCUAAUCUUUUUUCCCCACUCGAGUCUAGGGUUCAUCAUCUCCUCACCAAAAAACCAAAAGCCACUCUUCUUCUGCUAUUUAUUCCUCACCGUCUCCCUUGAACCACCGCAAAACCCUACCCAAAUGGACGCCGAAAUGGGAUCGGAAUCCGGCCCAGCUCUCAUAAAGCAGCUCGCGUCGUGCAACCAAGGCAGCCGCGGGCGCGCCCUCAGGGUUCUCCUCAAGACCUGGCUCCCCACCCAGCUCAACCUCUCCGACGACGACAUGAGGAAGCUCUGGAAAGGCCUCUUCUACUGCAUGUGGCACGCCGACAAGGCCCCCGCCCAGGCCCAGCUCAUCGAUCGCCUCUCCUCUCUCCUCCACAGCCUCCACCUCCCUCUCGCCAUCGAGUACUUCUCGGCGUUUCUGCUCACCAUGCGCCGCGAAUGGUCCGGCAUCGACGCGUUGAGGUUAGACAAGUUUUAUCUCUUGAUUCGUAGAUUUGUGAGUUGCUGGUUUGGUUUGAUGAAGAGUAAUUCGUGGGAUUUGGAGAUGGUGAAGAAAUUGAUGGGGGUUUUAAUGGAGGGGACGUUUUUCGCGGCGGAUAAGUUUCCGGGGAGAGGUGUCAAUUACCAUGUUGCGAGUGUGUUUCUAGAAGAGCUGAGGCCGUUUAUGCCGGUGAGGAAGGAGGUGGUUGAGGUGUUGUUAGUGGGUUUUAUUAGGGUUAUGGCCAAAGCGGACGAUAAGGUGUUGGUGGGGAAGGUUAAGGGGAGUGUGUUUGAUGUGUUGCUGGCGAAUGGGAGGAAGCUGUUGGAGGCUAGGAAAUCGGGGGAGGAGGUGGAGAAGGGUGAUGAUGCGGUGGUGUUUGGGCCGGUUGCGCUGUGCUUGGGGUUUUCGAGUAGGUUUCAUGAAAUGGGGGAGUCAGAGGAGUGCUGUCAGGGGAAUAGGAAGGUGUUGUUUGGGUUGGAUGAGGAGUUUUUGAAGUUCGAGAAGGAGUUGGCGGCUUCGGGUAUUGAGAUUGAGAUUCCUGAUGCUGUUCUGAAUGAGGAUGAGGAAGUUCCGAGUUUGAUUCCUAUUGUGGGUGAGGGUAUGGAGGUGGACAACUCGGAGCUGGCUGAGGCUGCCAAUGGGUCUGCUGGGAAGCGAUUGAAGAAGUGUAAGAAGAGUGAGAAGGACCCUGGUGGUGCUGCUGUUAAGGGAGAGAAGAAGAAGAAAAAAAGAAGGAGAAGAAGGAGAAGAAGGAGAAUGGGAUUUUGGAUUCUGACUCUGAGAAGAGCCAUACAGAUAGGGAGAGUGAUAAUGUAGCUGCAAAUGUUGAGAACCCAGAUAAUGAACAGGUUACUGAUGGAGAUGAGAUAAAAUUCAAUGAUUAUGCGAUAUCAAACCUCCAGAUGCAGUUUGAGAAGAUUGCUGCGGAAGAAGGCAUGGAUCAUGAUCUUCCAAGUGCCUGUGAAUUGCCGACAGCUACAACUAAUGGUACUGCCUCAAAGAAGAGAAAAAGAGUGAAGAAAGCUGAUGAAGAAGUUGUGGAGGAUGGUACCAAGGGAAAGAGUGGGGAGAAGAGUGCAAAGAAGGUAAAGUUCUCCAUGAAAAAUAAUUUAGUGUGGAAGCCCCAAAGCCCUUUGCCCCCUCAAAAUCUAAGAUUACCCCCCUCUGCUACACCUAGAGGAAGUGCACUAAAGCAAGGAGUACCUCCAGGUCCCAUCAGAGAAAUGCCCCCACCAACCAAAAAAGUGAAAAGAGUUGUGAAGAAGACUCGGAAAGUUGUCAAACGCGUAAAGAAGUUAAAAUCUCGUUCUACUUAGUAGGUAUUGUUUUAUGUGGUUAUUUUAGCUGAAAAAUUUGUUCUAUGUUUAGUUGUCACUUGACAUACACAUAUAACAAUUUCCCCUUUCGUGAUCUUCCUUAUUUGCCCCUCUUGUGUUGGGUUUUUGAUAUUCAACAUUGGUAUUUUCAUAUUCAUGAAAUUGGAUGAACUGAUGCUUUCUGAC